CCCAGCAUGCCUUGCAAGUGGAGGUGGAGCCAAGUAUGUAGGUACGUAGGUCAAAGGUCUUGGCAUAAGGUCGGGCAGCUGUUAGAGGUUUAGAUGAAGCCUAAGAGAGCUGUCUCCAGGCCAGGGGAGCCAGCUUGGGAGGCCCCAAGCCUGCUGCCUCUUAAAGCGGGUGACUCAGCCUCGCUCUGUCAGUGACACUGGUCACAUGACGGCUGCUGCAGUUCUACGUAUCAGAGCAUUCCAUGUCCACAUUCAAGGUGGGAAGAGUGAAUGAGCUGUACCAGAGAACACUCUGCAUAUCUGUCCUGUUGUAAGAAAGAAAGAUCCUUUCCGGAAGUUCCCAGCAGACUUCCUCUUCCAUCCAGCUGAUUGGAGCAGUGUCACAUGGACACUUGAAGCUGUAGGAGAGACUAAGAAUAAAUCUCUCCUGAAGCUUUCCCAUCUGUGCUUCUCCGGUUGCGUUGCCUUCUGCACCUUCUACACUGCUGCCUCUCUCCUGUACCGAUCUCCUAGGGCAUGUAUUCAGGGAUUUCUUCAUCAGUAAAGCAUACCCUGAAGUGGCUUCCGAAUUAUGAAGAUGAGAUGGUAAGGAUGCCCCAGAGGUGGCUUCUGGCUUGAUUGUGCAGCUUCUACAAGGCAAGUAGUGAAAUUUCUCCAGGAAGAUGAUUGGACCCUGAAAUUGUGGAACAGCCCUAGAAAUCUCAACAAAAUGCAGAGGGGGCACAUGACCUCUAUAAAUUUGGAGUGGGAAUGCAGAUCAUGCGUCUAAGCUCAGUGUUUCUGAUUCUGUACAUAAAGCAAAGUGGAUUCUCCUGGAACUAGGCUCAAGGAUGGAUGUGUGCUUAAUGGUGAAAUUAUUCAGUUAAGUAAUGAAUAGUAAUGUGGUGGAUAAGUGAAAUGCUGGAGGGGCAGUCUUCCAUAGCUGGUACAAGAUUUCCUUAUGCUUCAUGAAAGAUGGUGGUUAGCGGUAAAUAUACUGUUAAAGGACAGAAAUGGUAUGGACCUAACAG
ensembl:lncRNA